rnacentral:rRNA from 1 species
AACGCGAAGAACCUUACCUGGGCUCGAACGGCUCACGAACGUCCUUGGAAACAGGGAUUUCCCGCAAGGGACGGGAGUCGAGGUGCUGCAUGGCUGUCGUCAGCUCGUGUCGUGAGAUGUUGGGUUAAGUCCCGCAACGAGCGCAACCCUUGUCCUGUGUUGCCAUGCCGAAAGGCGGAACUCGCAGGAGACCGCCAGCGAUAAGCUGGAGGAAGGUGGGGAUGACGUCAAGUCCUCAUGGCCUUUAUGUCCAGGGCUACACACGUGCUACAAUGGCCGGUACAAAGCGUUCCUAAGCCGCAAGGUGGAGGCAAUCGCAGAAAACCGGUCUCAGUUCGGAUUGCAGGCUGCAACUCGCCUGCAUGAAGCUGGAAUCGCUAGUAAUGCCGUAUCAGAACGAUGGCGUGAAUACGUUCCCGGGCCUUGUACACACCGUAGUAC